UACAGAGGAUGCAAGCGUUAUCCGGAAUGAUUGGGCGUAAAGCGUCUGUAGGUGGCUUUUUAAGUCCGCCGUCAAAUCCCAGGGCUCAGCUAUGGACAGGCGGUGGAAACUACCAAGCUGGAGUACGGUAGGGGCAGGGGGAAUUUCCGGUGGAGCGGUGAAAUGCGCAGAGAUCGGAAAGAACACCAAGACGAAAGCAUUCUGCUGGGGCGACACUGACACUGAGAGACGAAAGCUAGGGGGAGCGAAUUGG
rnacentral:rRNA from 1 species